CAUGGCCAUCACGAUGACAAUACGCUUGACCUACAGCUGUGAUCAUGAAUCUGUUUUUUGUCUGGGGGCAGAGAUCCUACAUAGCCCUUUGGAAAAUAAAACAACAAAAGAAACACCUAGAGUACUGUUGGAGGAAGAUAAGGAGUACAUCUGACUGAACAUGGGUUUUAUUAAAGAUUACAUGAGGGUGCCAAGAAUGACAAAAUGUUUGCUGCUUUCACCACUUUGGCUGGAGUUGAAUGUUCUAAUAAAAAUGGAGAAAAGUCAAACAUUA